rnacentral:rRNA from 1 species
CAGUUCGGAUUGUAGGCUGAAACUCGCCUACAUGAAGCUGGAGUUACUAGUAAUCGCAGAUCAGAAUGCUGCGGUGAAUGCGUUCCCGGGUCUUGUACACACCGCCCGUCACACCACGGAAGUUGGGGGCGCCCGAAGCCACUUAGCUAACCCUUUGGGAAGCGAGUGUCGAAGGUGAAAUCAAUAACUGGGGUGAAGUCGUAACAAGGUACC